UACGGAGGGUGCAAGCGUUAUCCGGAUUUACUGGGUUUAAAGGGUGCGCAGGCGGAUAUGUAAGUCAGUGGUGAAAUCUCUGGGCUUAACCCGGAAACUGCCAUUGAUACUAUUUGUCUUGAAUAUCGUGGAGGUCAGCGGAAUAUGUCAUGUAGCGGUGAAAUGCUUAGAUAUGACAUAGAACACCAAUUGCGAAGGCAGCUGGCUACACGAAUAUUGACACUGAUGCACGAAAGCGUGGGGAUCAAACAGG
rnacentral:rRNA from 1 species